UGUCCGCCAGAAAAUYACGAGCGAAAAGCUUAAAACUCAAAGGACUUGGCGGUGCUCCAUACCGACUUAGAGGAGCCUGUCCUAUAAUCGAUAACCCACGAUAAACCAGACCAAUCUUUGCCCAAUUCAGCCUAUAUACCGCCGUCGUCAACCUACCCCAUGAGGGNAAAAUAGUAAGUAUAACAGUUUUUUAACUAAAACGUCAGGUCAAGGUGUAGCUAAUAGAUUGGAAGAGAUGGGCUACAUUAUUUAAUAUAAAUAAUACGGCACGUCAUUAUGAAACUAAUGCCCGAAGGAGGAUUUAAUAGUAAAAUAAGUUAGAAA
rnacentral:rRNA from 1 species